rnacentral:rRNA from 1 species
CGGACGGGUGAGUAAUGUCUGGGAAACUGCCCGAUGGAGGGGGAUAACUACUGGAAACGGUAGCUAAUACCGCAUAACGUCGCAAGACCAAAGAGGGGGACCUUAGGGCCUCUUGCCAUCGGAUGUGCCCAGAUGGGAUUAGCUAGUAGGUGGGGUAACGGCUCACCUAGGCGACGAUCCCUAGCUGGUCUGAGAGGAUGACCAGCCACACUGGAACUGAGACACGGUCCAG